AGUGAACGCUGGCGGUAGGCCUAACACAUGCAAGUCGAACGGCAGCACAGUAAGAGCUUGCUCUUACGGGUGGCGAGUGGCGGACGGGUGAGGAAUACAUCGGAAUCUACUUUUUCGUGGGGGAUAACGUAGGGAAGCUUACGCUAAUACCGCAUACGACCUACGGGUGAAAGCAGGGGAUCUUCGGACCUUGCGCGAUUGAAUGAGCCGAUGUCGGAUUAGCUAGUUGGCGGGGUAAAGGCCCACCAAGGCGACGAUCCGUAGCUGGUCUGAGAGGAUGAUCGGCCACACUGGAACUGGGACACGGUCCAGACUCCUACGGGAGGCAGCAGUGGGGAAUAUUGGGCAAUGGGCGCAAGCCUGAUCCAGCCAUACCGCGUGGGUGAAGAAGGCCUUCGGGUUGUAAAGCCCUUUUGUUGGGAAAGAAAAGCAGCAGGUUAAUACCCCGCUGUUCUGACGGUACCCAAAGAAUAAGCACCGGCUAACUUCGUG
rnacentral:rRNA from 1 species